rnacentral:rRNA from 1 species
CCUACGGGAGGCAGCAGUGAGGAAUAUUGGUCAAUGGACGCAAGUCUGAACCAGCCAUGCCGCGUGCAGGAAGACGGCUCUAUGAGUUGUAAACUGCUUUUGUACGAGGGUAAACGCAGAUACGCGUAUCUGUCUGAAAGUAUCGUACGAAUAAGGAUCGGCUAACUCCGUGCCAGCAGCCGCGGUAAUACGGAGGAUUCAAGCGUUAUCCGGAUUUAUUGGGUUUAAAGGGUGCGUAGGCGGUCGGAUAAGUUAGAGGUGAAAUCCCGAGGCUCAACUUCGGAAUUGCCUCUGAUACUGUUCGGCGAGAGAGUAGUUGCGGUAGGCGGAAUGUAGGGUGUAGCGGUGAAAUGCUUAGAGAUCAUACAGAACACCGAUUGCGAAGGCAGCUUACCAAGCUACUUCUGACGUUGAGGCACGAAAGCGUGGGGAGCAAACAGGAUGAGAUACCAGUAGUC